UACAGAGGGUGCAAGCGUUGUUCGGAUUCAUUGGGCGUAAAGGGUGCGUAGGCGGCGCGGUAAGUCGGGUGUGAAAUCUCGGAGCUUAACUCCGAAACUGCAUUCGAUACUGCCGUGCUUGAGGACUGGAGAGGAGACUGGAAUUUACGGUGUAGCGGUGAAAUGCGUAGAUAUCGUAAGGAAGACCAGUGGCGAAGGCGGGUCUCUGGGCAGUAACUGACGCUGAGGAGCGAAAGCGUGGGGAGCGAACAGG
rnacentral:rRNA from 1 species